GAAAAAAUAACUCUAUAGAAUUCACUUGAAAGACACCCACCGCUCGGCAACUCCGUUUGUGAUCGUUUCUGCCUCUAUAGUGUCUCUAUAGUCGCAUCUUUACAGUCAGACACCCUGCAUCUAGUCAUGAAACAGGUCUAUCGACCUUAUAAUAGUGGUCGUGGUGGUACCCGCAUACGCCUCAACUCCCUCAUUCGAUCCCUGGAUGAAAAUCGGGAACUGUAAUUGGGUUGUGGGGCGGCUAGGAUGUCUGGGUACUACAGCUAGCCUGAUUAACAUUGGUUCAACUCUCAUUGAAACACUGAAUCAGCUGUCGGGCGGCGGAAGUAUCUUGAGUUUCUGAAUAGCAGAUGGAAUGUACAGCGAUCCACAUCGACUAAGUGCUGCAGUUUCACUCGAGUCUGUAGCCAUAUGUGUCUGCCCUUUCCAUGAUGUGUAACCUUAAUCACUCUUUCGUUGGUUUAGUUUACUUGG